AGCAAUCCCGACGCAAGAAGGGGUGUGUUUAUUAGAUCGCAAACAAGUUUAGGGUAGUGUCCUCACAGACGGGUAACGGGGAAUUAGGGUUCGACUCCGGAGAGGGGGCUACCACAUCCAAGGAAGGCAGCAGGCGCGCAAAUUACCCAAUCCCGACACGGGGAAGUAGUGACAAGAAAUACCGAUACAGGGCCUCUUUCGGUCUUGUGAUUGGAAUGAGUACAAUUUAAAUCCAUUAAAGCAUACAUUAAAGUUGUUGCAGUUAAAACGCCCGUAGUUGAAACUCGGGCCUGGCCCGCCGGUCCGCCUCACCGCGUGCACUGGUUGGGCCGGGUCUUUCUCCCUGGAAAUCCGCAUGGCCUUCACUGGCUGUGCCGGGGGACCAGGACUGUUACUGUGAAAAAAUCAGAGUGUUCAAAGCAGGCCUUUGCUCGCCUUAGCAUGGAAUAAUUGGUUUUCGCGACCGUCGUAAUGAUUAAUGAAAGCAUUUGCCAUGGAUGUUUUCAGAAAGGGGAU
rnacentral:rRNA from 1 species